AACCUCCGCAAUGUGAGAAAUCGCGACGGGGGGAUCCCAAGUGCCAUUCUUAACGGGAUGGCUUUUCAUUAGUGUAAAGAGCUUUUGGAAUAAGGGCUGGGCAAGACCGGUGCCAGCCGCCGCGGUAACACCGGCAGCUCUAGUGGUAGCAGUUUUUAUUGGGCCUAAAGCGUCCGUAGCCGGUUUAAUAAGUCUCUGGUGAAAUCCUGUAGCUUAACUGUGGGAAUUGCUGGAGAUACUAUUAGACUUGAGACCGGGAGAGGUUAGAGGUACUCCCAGGGUAGAGGUGAAAUUCUGUAAUCCUGGGAGGACCGCCUGUUGCGAAGGCGUCUAACUGGAACGGUUCUGACGGUGAGGGACGAAAGUUAGGGGCGCGAACCGGAUUAGAUACCCGGGUAGUCCUAACUGUAAACGAUGCGGACUUGGUGUUGGGGCGGCUUUGAGCUGCUCCAGUGCCGAAGGGAAGCUGUUAAGUCCGCCGCCUGGGAAGUACGGUCGCAAGACUGAAACUUAAAGGAAUU
rnacentral:rRNA from 1 species